rnacentral:rRNA from 1 species
GACGAACGCUGGCGGCGUGCCUAAUACAUGCCAGUUGAGCGCUGAAGGUUGGUACUUGUACCAACUGGAUGAGCAGCGAACGGGUGAGUAACGCGUGGGGAAUCUGCCUUUGAGCGGGGGACAACAUUUGGAAACGAAUGCUAAUACCGCAUAAAAACUUUAAACACAAGUUUUAAGUUUGAAAGAUGCAAUUGCAUCACUCAAAGAUGAUCCCGCGUUGUAUUAGCUAGUUGGUGAGGUAAAGGCUCACCAAGGCGAUGAUACAUAGCCGACCUGAGAGGGUGAUCGGCCACAUUGGGACUGAGACACGGCCCAAACUCCUACGGGAGGCAGCAGUAGGGAAUCUUAGGCAAUGGACGAAAGUCUGACCGAGCAACGCCGCGGGAGUGAAGAAGGGUUUCGGAUCGUAAAACUCGGUUGGUAGAGAAGAACGUUGGUGAGAGUGGAAAGCUCAUCAAGUGACGGUAACUACCCAGAAAGGGACGGCUAACUACGUG